GGUAGCAGAAGGCAGUCAUCAAUACCAGCUAUGACCACAUGUCCAGCUGCAGAAACGAGGGCUGUAAUUGUUGUGAGUACUUCCUCCUUGUUUUGUCAAAAACAUGUUCAUGCAUGCAUAUACUUGUACUAAGAAAAUAUCUUCAUUUUAUUUCCAUUCUCCUUUAUCAUGUGACAUAAGAUUUACUGACUUCACAUCAGCAUUUAAGUAUUGUUAACUUUAUGUAAUUAGUAUUUUGGUUGGGGACUGGUGCGUUUUCAGUUGUAAGGUUAGUUG
rnacentral:lncRNA from 10 species